UCUCUGUUUGUAUUAAUUAUGUUGUGCUAUUUUAAUUGAUUAUCACUUCAAUUUUCAGAGUUACUUUUUAAAAGCCCAUCUAGGGACAAGUGCUGCGAAUUAGCUGUUGCUAUUGCACUAUGAUGCAAACAUGGGA